CCUACGGGUGGCAGCAGUGAGGAAUAUUGGUCAAUGGACGCAAGUCUGAACCAGUCAUGCCGCGUGCAGGAUGACGGCUCUAUGAGUUGUACACUGCUUUUGUACGAGGGUAAACGCAGAUACGCGUAUCUGUCUGAAAGUAUCGUACGAAUAAGGAUCGGCUAACUCCGUGCCAGCAGCCGCGGUAAUACGGAGGAUUCAAGCGUUAUCCGGAUUUAUUGGGUUGAAAGGGUGCGUAGGCGGUCUGAUAAGUUAGAGGUGAAAUCCCGAGGCUCAACUUCGGAAUUGCCUGUGAUACUGGCCGGCGAGAGAGUAGUUGAGGUAGGCGGAAUGGAUGGUGUAGCGGUGAAAUGCUUAGAGAUCAUACAGAACACCGAUUGCGAAGGCAGCUUACCAAGCUACUUCUGACGUUGAGGCACGAAAGCGUGGGGAGCAAACAGGAUUAGAUACCCGUGUAGUC
rnacentral:rRNA from 1 species